UACAAAAGUUUAUGUCGCCACC
rnacentral:snRNA from 1 species